AUGGGUGCAUACAAAUACAUCCAGGAGCUAUGGAAGAGGCAGUCUGAUGUCUUGCACUUUCUUCUGAAGGUCGGCUGUUGGCAGUACUGCUGGCUCUCUGCUCUGCACAGGAAUCCCCACCCCACCUGGCCUGAUAAAGCAUGCCAACUGGGCUACAAGGCCAAGCAAAGUUACAUUAUAUAUAGGAUUUGUAUGCGCCAUGGUGGCCAAAAAUGCCCAGUUCCUAAGGGUGCAACUUAUGGCAAGCCUGUCGACCAUGAUGUUAACCAGCUAGGGUUUGCUUGAAGCCUUCAGUCCACUGCAGAGGAGUAAGCUGGACACCACUGUGGAGCUUUAAGAGUCUUGAAUUCUAACUGGGUUGGUGAAGAUUCCACGUACAAAUUUUUGGAGGUUAUCCUAAUUGAUCCAUUCCAUAAAGCUAUCAGAAGAAAUCCUGACACCCAGUGAAUCACCAAACCAGUUCGCAAGCACAGGGAGAUGCAUGGGUUGACAUCUGCAGGCUGAAAGAGCCAUGGCCUUGGAAAGGGCCAUAAAUUCCACCACACUCUUGGUGGUUCUCGCUGGGCAACUUGGAGAAGGCACAAUACUUUCCAGCUCUACCGUUAC
rnacentral:lncRNA from 1 species